CGUGGAGACAGGUGGUACAUGGCUGUCGUCAGCUCGUGUCGUGAGAUGUUGGGUUAAGUCCCGCAACGAGCGCAACCCUCACCUCUUGUUGCCAUCAGGUCAUGCUGGGCACUCUAGAGGAACUGCCCCGGUCAACGGGGAGGAAGGCGGGGAUGACGUCAAGUCAUCAUGCCCCUUACGUCCUGGGCUACACACGUGCUACAAUGGCCGGUACAAAGGGAUGCCACACCGCGAGGUAGAGCUAAACCCAAAAAGCCGGUCUAAGUUCAGAUUGGAGUCUGCAACUCGACUCCAUGAAGGAGGAAUCGCUAGUAAUCGCGUAUCAGCACGACGCGGUGAAUACGUUCCCGGGCCUUGUACACACCGCCCGUCACACCACGAAAGCCUGCUGUACUCGAAGUCGCUGAG
rnacentral:rRNA from 1 species